UACGUAGGGUGCGAGCGUUAAUCGGAAUUACUGGGCGUAAAGCGUGCGCAGGCGGUUAUUUAAGUCAGGUGUGAAAGCCCUGGGCUUAACCUAGGAAUUGCGCUUGAGACUGGAUAGCUUGGAGUGCGGCAGAGGGAGGUGGAAUUCCACGUGUAGCAGUGAAAUGCGUAGAGAUCCGGAGGAACCCCAGAGGCGAAGGCGGCGCCCUGGCUCGCAACUGACGCUCAGACACGACAGCAUGGGGAGCGAACGGG
rnacentral:rRNA from 1 species